rnacentral:rRNA from 1 species
UACGUAGGGUGCAAGCGUUUAAUCGGAAUUACUGGGCGUAAAGCGUGCGCAGGCGGUUUUGUAAGUUUGUCGUGAAAUCCCCGGGCUCAACCUGGGAAUGGCGAUGAAGACUGCAAGGCUAGAAUCUGGCAGAGGGGGGUAGAAUUCCACGUGUGAGCAGUGAAAUGCGUAGAGAUGUGGAGGAACACCGAUGGCGAAGGCAGCCCCCUGGGUCAAGAUUGACGCUCAUGCACGAAAGCGUGGGGAGCAAACAGG